rnacentral:rRNA from 1 species
AACGAACGCUGGCGGCGUGGAUAAGACAUGCAAGUCGAACGGGGCAGGAUGGUAGCAAUAUCAGCCUGUUCAGUGGCGAACGGGUGCGUAACACGUGGGUUACAUUCCGGGAAGUGAGGGAUAGCCCAGGGAAACUUGGAUUAAUACCUCAUGUGGUCGCAAGACCAAAGGCGCAAGCCGCUUCCUGAUUGGCCCGCGGCCUAUCAGCUAGUUGGUAAGGUAACGGCGUACCAAGGCAACGACGGGUAGCUGGUCUGAGAGGACGACCAGCCACACUGGAACUGAGACACGGUCCAGACACCUACGGGUGGCAGCAGUCGAGAAUCUUUCACAAUGGGGGCAACCCUGAUGGAGCGACGCCGCGUGGAGGAUAAGGUCUUCGGAUUGUAAACUCCUGUCAUCCGGGAGCAAGACCUGGCCGUGAAUAGCGGACAGGGUUGAUAGUACCGGAAGAGGAAGGGACGGCUAACUUCGUGCCAGCAGCCGCGGUAACAC